GUGGCGGACGGGUGAGUAAUGCUUGGGAAUCUGGCUUAUGGAGGGGGAUAACUGUGGGAAACUGCAGCUAAUACCGCGUAUUCUCUGAGGAGGAAAGGGUGGGACCUUAGGGCCACCUGCCAUAAGAUGAGCCCAAGUGGGAUUAGGUAGUUGGUGGGGUAAAGGCCUACCAAGCCUGCGAUCUCUAGCUGGUCUGAGAGGAUGACCAGCCACACUGGAACUGAGACACGGUCCAGACUCCUACGGGAGGCAGCAGUGGGGAAUAUUGCGCAAUGGGGGGAACCCUGACGCAGCCAUGCCGCGUGAAUGAAGAAGGCCUUCGGGUUGUAAAGUUCUUUCGGUAAUGAGGAAGGGAUGUUGUUAAAUAGAUAGCAUCAUUGACGUUAAUUACAGAAGAAGCACCGGCUAACUCCGUGCCAGCAGCCGCGGUAAUACGGAGGGUGCGAGCGUUAAUCGGAAUAACUGGGCGUAAAGGGCACGCAGGCGGACUUUUAAGUGAGAUGUGAAAUCCCCGAGCUUAACUUGGGAACUGUAUUUCAGACUGGGAGUCUAGAGUACUUUAGGGAGGGGUAGAAUUCCACGUGUAGCGGUGAAAUGCGUAGAGAUGUGGAGGAAUACCGAAGGCGAAGGCAGCCCCUUGGGAAUGUACUGACGCUCAUGUGCGAAAGCGUGGGGAGCAAACAG
rnacentral:rRNA from 1 species